AUGGCCAUCUUCAACAUUUUCUGAGAUUUCUAAUUUGUCUUUUUCUACUUGUGCAGAUGGAGUCAUGAAAUGUGACGGGACAGCCACCGAGGACUUCAUACUUCGGAGCAUCUCAAACAUGCACCACAAAGACGUGGAGGACACACCGCUGUCUCUCAGGACCUAGAAUCUUAAUGAAAGUAUAAUGAUGUUAAGGGAAGGUGUAAUGUAAAGUUGUAAUGGUGUUAAGGGAAGGUGUAGUGGAAAGGUGUGAUAGUGUUGAGGGAAGGUGUAAUGUUAAAGGUGUAAUAGUGUUGAGGGAAGGGGUAAUGUUAAAGGUGUAAUAGUGUUAAGGGAAGGUAUAAUAUUGUUAAGGGAAGGUGUAAUGCAGGGGUCUCAAACUCAUUUUUGCCGAGGGCCACAUUGACAUAUUGGCUGUCCUCUGAGGGCCAGAUGUAACUUACAAAUAUAAGAAAAUGUAACCAGAUGUAAUAUAAAAUGAAUGUAAUUACUCCUUAAUGUUAAAUAACUCUCAAUAUACUAUUUAUUCAAUCAAAUAUUACAGGUGCAUGGAAAAAUGUUUGCUUGUUGCUCUAUUAACAUAAAUCCUUUUAAUUUGUCAUGUUAUGAAAUCCAAAAACUCCAUCAAUCAAGAACCAAACUAGUCAAGUGAAUAGAAAUUACAUCAAGUACAAGUUAUAUUAACUUUGAUCAAAACGUUUGAUACUGAAAUAAGGCUUAAUAAAUAUAAAAUCAAAAAUUGUGAGCUGUGACAGAUUUAGCAUUUCCUCAGAUUUAGCAGUUCCUCAUCCAACCACUAGUCGGAGCUGCAGCUGCAGCACCACAAGCCCGCAGUCUUUGCUUAGUCAGAGCUACAGCCCAGCCACGGGCUACAGGACUCAGCUGAGCCAGUCUGGAGCGUUUUGAAAUUUUUUAAGUUCUUCUGUGUAUGAAAUAAAAUAACCCCACUAACCGGAUAAUACAGCUCUCUACAGUUCAUAUUUCAGCCCGAGCAGCUAACAGCAGCAGUUUAGAGCAGCGUUACGGAGUCACUGCUCGGAUUACAUUAUAAACAGGUCAGUUAGCGCGCUGCUAACCUCAGGAUGUUUAUAACUACGGAGUUUAGUGGACACACCACGGCAGCAAGGUUAGACUGUUGAAGGCUACUGAAGACUACUAAAGCAGGCAACGCAGCGUAAGCAAAAAAAAAAAAAAAAAAACCACACACACACACCAAAAUACAAGUUAAGAUAAAAUAUGAAAACGAACAUAAUAAAGCAUAAGUAAUUAAAUUGAAUUGCGGGCCAGAUGUAUGUUUAUUUUGUUAACCCGUGAGGGGCCGUAUGAAACCGCGUGGGCCGGUACUUUGAGACCCCUGGUGUAAUAGUGUUGAGGGAAGGUAUAAUAUUGUUAAGGGAAGGUGUAAUGUAAAGCUGUAAUAGUUUUAAGGGAAGGUAAAUGUUUAGUGAAAUUGUUAUGGUGUGAAUCUAAGGUGUAUAUUAUGUUGAUGUAAAAUAAAGGCAUUAACCCCAAAUGAGAUUUACUCAUUAUGUUUAUUAUUAUAUUAAUGUUUCCCCAAACAGAAAGGGUCAAUUUAAAAUCAACAGUGGUAAGAUGGGGGUAAUUAAUUUAUUCCUUGCUUUUACUGGUUCUUUGCAGGUUGACAUGUUUUGAAAAAAGUGAGAGGGUUGAAAUGCAAUUUAUUUGUAAAGCAUAUUGUGUAUAACUAACGUGCAUAACUAGUUCCAGAAGGUUGUGAACCUGUUCCAGUAAUUGUUUGGCUUAGCUUUGUAUGCGUUUCCAGUUAACUGCUGAAGCUGGAACAAUGGAACAGUUGCCACCGUCUGAAAUGGCACUACAGUUAUGCAGGGAGCCUCAAAGUAGUUGGUCUAUAAAACGUAUACAUGUAAAUUUCACGUAGAAAAGACGUCCACAACGACUUAAUUUAAACUAGAAUUAGCCCUUAUCCGGAGGUCUGGGGGACGUCAAUACUGGACGUGCAGAAGACGUCAGAAAAAAGACGUCGUCUGGCGUCACAGUCUGCACCUUCAGGAGACCAAAAUUGGACGUGCAAAAAUGACCUAGAAAAGACGUCGUUUCAACGUCUCUUUGUUUAGUG